GAAGAGGUGAGGUGAUGUAGGAGGGAGACUGGAGAGAUGGCGGAGUGAGGGGCUUCCGAGCUGUCAUGUGGAGAAGUAACGCGGGAUGUGCUCUACGUGGUCACGUGGAUUCGUCAAGGAUGAGGAUCUGCUGAUAAAGUGAGGAGCCAAUGAUGUCCAAGCAUCAGACUCUGCAGAGAAGAUGUAGCUGGAAGAAGACCUGGUGCCUGGACCAACAGAGAAGACAUCACUCAGAUCCGUGUAUGCAGAGGAUAACGGCAGAUUUGAUGGAUUACGGCGGAUGAACUGGAUUUUUUUUCCUUUUAAUAAAAUGGUUAACGAGGGCUGUGGGGUUGUGUUUAAAA